UCUGCCGUGGGCGCUGGAGAACUGAGGGGGGCUGCUCCUAGUACGAGAGGACCGGAGUGGACGCAUCACUGGUGUUCGGGUUGUCAUGCCAAUGGCACUGCCCGGUAGCUAAAUGCGGAAGAGAUAAGUGCUGAAAGCAUCUAAGCACGAAACUUGCCCCGAGAUGAGUUCUCCCUGAGACUUAGAGUCUCCUGAAGGAACGUUGAAGACGACGACGUUGAUAGGCCGGGUGUGUAAGCGCAGCGAUGCGUUGAGCUAACCGGUACUAAUGAACCGUGAGGCUUAACCUUACAACGCCGAAG
rnacentral:rRNA from 1 species